ensembl:lncRNA
GGAUUUAGGACCAGCGAGCUGAUGGGUCCUGGGAAGAGGAGGACGGAAAACGCCCCGUGGCACCACUGACCAGCCCCCACGGCGGGGAGAGUUCCGUAGGCCGCGUCCGCGGGAUUCAGGCCGUUUGGCAUUCACAGAGCAGCUGGGCCCGAUAAUGAGGGAUCUCUGCAGAGCCUUUGCAGGGUGCAAAGCCCUUGCAUUCUGUUUAUCUUUCCAUAGCCCCGAGAAGUGGGCCGGGCAGGGACAGUUACCUUUAUUUUACAGAUGAGAAAACGGAGGCCCAGUGAGGGGGAAUAGCAUGCGUUUGGUCUCUCUGGGAGUAAAUGUCCAGACCGGUUCUCUAGCCGCUGAAAGCAAGGCCUGGUGAUGAGGUGGGGGCCUGCAAGGGGGCAGGCGUGGGGCCCGGUGUGUGCGCCUCUGCACGGGCUCUCUGUAGGGGCAUCAGAAGCUACGUUAAGCUGAGGCUUUAGGCUGGGUGGUCACUCCCCAGGUCCAGGCAGGUAACUGUGAGGAGAGCAGGGAAGGGGGCCAGGGGCAAAGCGGAGAGCUGCCCCCCCUCCCAGAGCACCGCGGGCCGCCUCUGGGUUUAAAGAACACAGCUCCUUCCCACCUGGGGCAGAGGCCCCAAGGUCCCCGGUGAUAGACUCAGGGAGGGCAGAGUGGGGCCCGGUCCCAGCAGGGUAGGAUCGGCUGUGGGUGAUGCAGGUCCAGCUGGGAUGGGAUCUCUCCUCUGCCAGAGAGUCACCCGGGAGCUGGACCCGCGCUACAUAACAGCACGUGGGCAGCCUGUUCCGCGGCGGCUUCCGCCAGACGCUCUCCUACCAGCUGAUGCGCUCCGCAGGCCUCUACGCCGCCACCUGCCUCGACAUCCUGCGCUACCCGCUCAGCUCGCUGCAUCGGGUGGCCGGAGCUGGCUCAGGGCAGAGAGAGGGCUGAGGACCAGGAAGGCUGCACUGAGGAGGACUGAGUCCUGGACGUGGGCUGGCAUCAUGGUCAUCCUCUACCUGAGAUGCUUUUAGAUAAAUGGCAAAGGCUCCUGUUUCGUCUGUUGGUAGCAUCAUCUGGCAUCAUCUAGAGGCUUAGAAGGAAUAUACCUACGUAACUGAAAUGACACAACAAACUCUCAAAGGAACAGGUCUGUGAAACAGUUCGCUAGUUUCUCUUUCUGGGGAUAAUCAAGGGAAACAUUUGGAAUAUCUGAGGAUAAAUAAGGGCCAACAGGCCACGUACUGAGAGAGUUUCAGAAGCUAGGUCUGGCCCUGCCAAGGCCUUUCGUUCUUCUUCCUGGCUUGACUUGUGGGCCUGUUCGGUAAAGCGGCUUCUCCAAGCAGAGACCAGGUAUCCCUGGCCUUGCGUCUUCAAACACUGCAUUCUUGUUCAAGGGCUACGGGGUAGAAUUUUAUCAGGAAAAUUGCUCAGACUCUAGGGCCCAUACUUUUCUGGAAAGAUGCUGAAAUAUGGUGCAGUAGCUAAUACUACAGAACUCAACCAUUAGAAUUCCCUGCUAGGGAGUGAGAAUGCAGAGAGGCUGGGGAUGAACAGCCACCAGAAGAAUGCUUGGGGUCUGAGGAAGAGUGAGGGAGGAGGAGGGGGAAGCGGUGGCCAAAGGGCCUUUCGCAUGCUUUUCCUUCUGCCGGAAGCAUCCCCUACCUCUUCUCCUGUUAAACCUGCUCUUGCCUCAGACUCGAGGGGCCUCUCCACCUCCCUGUGACUGGAUCAGGUCCUUCUGUUGGUCCCAUCCUAGAGACCUUGGUUUCUGGGGAUUAUUCCAUUUUCACACAUUUGUGUCCCGCUGGACUCUUGGCUUCAUGGGGCCAGGUCACGUGGCUCAUUGUUGCAUCUCUGGCAUCUUCGGUGUCUUGUGUGUUCCACCGAGUAAACUACAUCACCUGGUUUAUUAUUACAUUGCAGGGGAAAGGGUGGGGCAAAAGAUAGAUUGUAAGACAAGAGGAAGUGGGGAAAGACUAGAAAGCUUUGGAUGAGAACUCUGCUAAGCUCGUAGGAAGUCAGCUGGGGCAUGGUAGGGUGGAAGAUACUUCUAUUUGGGGCUGUUCAUUUAAUGCAGGUGUUUUUUUUUUUUUUAAACCUAUUGUUACCUCUGUACUCAUUUACCUACACUUUAGUUGGAAAUGUGCCCCAUUAUUCCAAAGACUAUAGUAGACACUGAUAGUCCAUUUCGGGAAGAAUUUUUAGUUGGGCAUGUGGGCACCCAAAAUACGUUUCCCAGCCUUCUUUGAAGAUAAGUGUAUGUGCUCAAUGGCCCCACAAUCCUAAAUAGAAAUAAUGUGUCCAUCUUCCAAGUUGUAACCUUAAAAAGGAGAGGGGCAUGUGUUCUAUCUCCUCUCUUCCCGGGUCCCUCUGGCUGGAAUGUGACAUUGGUUGGGGAGCCAUCUCUGGUUAUAUGGAUGAGGCUGUAUCCCGGGGAUGGCAGAGCCGUAAGACAGAUGUGGCCUGGCCUUGGCACCAAACACUGGACAGUUUCACUUGAACUACUGAUGUAAGAGAGACACGUUUCCCUUUGGGACUAGUAACAGCAGCUCAAUCGAUACCCUAAUUCUGACAUCCAGCCCUGAGCAGUCAGAAAGGAAGGGAAUGGAAGCAUCGCCCCUGAGUUAGCGGCCUGGUGGUAAAAAAUGUAAUCAAGUACCUCAUUUGUAGAAUAAACAACCGUACUCUGGCUCUCAUAGCAAUUCCUGUUUGGUAAAUGGGAACAGUUCAAGAAGUUCUUCUUCCAUAUCGCCUUCUUACUCCUCAUGUCCUUACUUGGCGUAGAGGCGGGGAUUGAAAGGUCUGGACUUGGCGCCAGACAGCCCUGAGUCUGAAAUUUCAGCCCUAUCAUUGACCGUCUAAGUAGCGUCUCCAUACCUAUGUCAUAAGGCUAUUGCGAAGAUGUAGUGAGAUAAGAUGCAUGGAACACAGCCAGAGGAAGCGCUGAAUGACAGUGUCCUACACAAGUGUUUGUGUGUGUGGGACUUCUCCCCUAGCAACCGACAGAAACCUAACUGAAACUGGCCUUCAGAGCUCGUGAUCUCUCAGCAGCUCCCUGGGCAUUAUUUGGCUUCACAGAUAAAGGGAGGCUGUCCAAAGGGAAGGAAAGGGCUGGCUGUGUGGAGUCCUGCAGUUUGGUUGUGGUGACCAUCUAUUCUUAUUGAAAAUUAGUAUAUCAACUUUAUGGUUUUAUAGCUCAGUUUUAUGAACCUUGUCUUUAUAAACCUGACCUAGAGAGAUGAUGCUUCCCUCAUUGUGAUAAAAUCUAGCUCCUGGGUGAGGGUGAUGGGCAGACCCUUGAUCAAGGUGAGUUCUCCAUGGUAAUGAAUGUUCCCUAUGAGGCCUCUUGAGAUUGCCUAGAAGAGUUUCCCUGGACAAAACCCUGAUUCUCUAGGCCAAGCCAUCAUCACUGUUUUUUUUUUUUAAUAAUAAAUAAAAUAAAUGGAUAAGCAGGAAUGAACAAAGUUUAAUUUUUUUGUUUUAGAUAAUACUUAAAUAUUAAGAAAGCUAAAAUUUUAAAAUUCACAAUAUGUUGGCUAGGUUUUUCUAUACAUUAUAUUUACAUAAUGAUUCUAAUUUUAACUUUCCAAGAACAGUUGCCCAGGAAGAAGGAAAGGCAACCUAUAAUAGUCUCUGGGGCUUGUACUGUCUUCUCAGGUCAGGUGUCCUGUAGCAAAGAACUGAAGUGAAGAAGCAAGUGACCCUGCCCUCCCCUCUCCCCUGCUCCCUUUUGUUUUUCUUUGAAGCACUUCUGAAUAACAAAUGCAAAAUUAGAUUUGGAUAUAAAAGCUAGACGACUACCGCAGUUCAGAACUGUGUUCCACUGGAGAAGCCCCAGCACAGCCAGGGUGGGAAUUACCCCUCAUCUGUAGGGUGCUGUGACAGAAGUCAGAGUCGCAUACAAAAGUCACCUGGGAUCUCUGAGCAAAAGCACAGCUAGCGUCAGCUCCGUAAAAUGAGGGGAUUUGAUCAGACAGUCUGUCGCAUGGCAUCUGGUCCAGAAGGCUAGCUUCAAAGCUCCCCUCGGGGCAGAUAGGCCUCGCCCUCUCCGCUAAGGCAGAUGCAGGAAGGAAAGUCCAUCAUCCUGCGGCACCAGCCUCUUGAUGUGAAAAAAAGAACUACACUGAGAGUAAAUUAGGUCAAUAAGGUGAACAUUUUUUACCAUACUUGUGGGGUAAAUGAAUAUUCAAUAGCUUAAAAUUUAUGUACUAUAAACUGUGGCAAACUAUAGUCUUAAAUAAACCAAAGACAGUCCCGUGGGGAUAUUAAAUUCGAGAGUAAGCCCAGUGACUAAAUCCUAAGGGCCCACAGUCUGCCUGUCCGUUAUAUAGUUUUGCCCAGGUCACCUGGCCAAGGGUAUUUCACGGAGUCUCUGAAACACCUUUAAAAAAA